UACGGAGGGAGCUAGCGUUGUUCGGAAUUACUGGGCGUAAAGCGUACGUAGGCGGUUACUCAAGUCAGAGGUGAAAGCCCGGGGCUCAACCCCGGAACUGCCUUUGAAACUAGGUAGCUAGAAUCUUGGAGAGGCGAGUGGAAUUCCGAGUGUAGAGGUGAAAUUCGUAGAUAUUCGGAAGAACACCAGUGGCGAAGGCGACUCGCUGGACAAGUAUUGACGCUGAGGUACGAAAGCGUGGGGAGCAAACAGG
rnacentral:rRNA from 1 species